rnacentral:rRNA from 1 species
UACAGAGGGUGCGAGCGUUAAUCGGAAUUACUGGGCGUAAAGCGUGCGUAGACGGUUAUUUAAGUCGGAUGUGAAAGCCCCGGGCUCAACCUGGGAAUUGCAUUCGAGACUGAAUAGCUAGGGUACGGUAGAGGGAAGUGGAAUUUCCGGUGUAGCGGUGAAAUGCGUAGAUAUCGGAAGGAACAUCAGUGGCGAAAGCGACUUCCUG